rnacentral:rRNA from 1 species
GAUGAACGCUAGCGAUAGGCCUAACACAUGCAAGUCGAGGGGCAUCACAUGAAGUAGCAAUACGGAUGGUGGCGACCGGCGCACGGGUGAGUAACACGUAUGCAACCUGCCUUCAACAAGGGGAUAACCCGUUGAAAGACGGACUAAUACCCUAUAACACAGGGGUCCCGCAUGGGAAUAUUUGUUAAAGGACAACCGGUUGAAGAUGGGCAUGCGUUCCAUUAGCUAGUUGGCGGGUAACGGCCCACCAAGGCAACGAUGGAUAGGGGAACUGAGAGGUUUAUCCCCCACACUGGUACUGAGACACGGACCAGACUCCUACGGGAGGCAGCAGUGAGGAAUAUUGGUCAAUGGACGCAAGUCUGAACCAGCCACGUCGCGUGAAGGAAGCGGCCCUACGGGUUGUAAACUUCUUUUAUACGGGAAUAAAGUGCCCCACGCGUGGGGUUUUGCAAGUACCGUAUGAAUAAGGAUCGGCUAACUCCGUGCCAGCAGCCGCGGUAAUUCACAC